rnacentral:rRNA from 1 species
CGUGAGACAGUUCGGUCCCUAUCUUCCGUGGGUGUAGGAUACUUGAGAGGAGUUGCCCCUAGUACGAGAGGACCGGGGUGAACGAUCCACUGGUGGACCAGUUGUUAUGCCAAUAGCAGUGCUGGGUAGCUAUGAUCGGACAGGAUAACCGCUGAAGGCAUCUAAGCGGGAAGCCCCCCUCAAAACAAGGUAUCCCUGAGAGCCGAGAUAGACCAUCUCGUCGAUAGGCCAGAGAUGUAAGCGUAGUAAUACGUUCAGUUGACUGGUACUAAUUGCUCGA